rnacentral:rRNA from 1 species
CCCUUAGAUGUUCUGGGCCGCACACGCGCUACACUGAAGGAGGCAGCGUGUACUCCUGGAUCGAAAGAUUUGGGUAACCCGCGAAUCUCCUUCGUGCUAGGGAUUGAGGUUUGCAAUUAUCCUUCAUGAACGAGGAAUUCCCAGUAAGUGCAAGUCAUAAGCUUGCGCUGACUACGUCCCUGCCCUUUGUACACACCGCCCGUCGCACCUACCGAUUGAAUGGUCCGGUGAAUCUUUAGGACUGUGGCUGAGGCCUUGCCUUGUGCGGGUCUGGCCGUGGGAAUUUAGUUAAACCUUACCAUUUAGAGGAAGGUGAAGUCGUAACA